rnacentral:rRNA from 1 species
UACGUAGGGACCAAGCGUUGUUCGGAUUUACUGGGCGUAAAGGGCGCGUAGGCGGCGUGUUAAGUCUGGCGUGAAAGCCCAGGGCUCAGCCCUGGAAGUGCGCUAGAAACUGCGAGGCUCGAGUGCCGGAGGGGAGAGUGGAAUUCCUGGUGUAGCGGUGAAAUGCGUAGAUAUCUGGAGGAACACCGGUGGCGAAGGCGGCAUCCUGGACCGGUAUUGACGCUGAGGCGCGAAAGCUAGGGGAGCAAACGGG